rnacentral:rRNA from 1 species
GGCAACGGAUAUCUCGGCUCUCGCAUCGAUGAAGAACGUAGCGAAAUGCGAUACUUGGUGUGAAUUGCAGAAUCCCGUGAACCAUCGAGUCUUUGAACGCAAGUUGCGCCCGAAGCCAUUAGGCCGAGGGGACGCCUGCCUGGGCGUCACACGCCGUUGCCCC